CCUACGGGUGGCAGCAGUGGGGAAUAUUGGACAAUGGGGGCAACCCUGAUCCAGCCAUGCCGCGUGUGUGAAGAAGGCCCUCGGGUUGUAAAGCACUUUCAGUGAGGAAGAACGCCUGGUGGUUAAUACCCAUCAGGAAAGACAUCACUCACAGAAGAAGCACCGGCUAACUCCGUGCCAGCAGCCGCGGUAAUACGGAGGGUGCGAGCGUUAAUCGGAAUUACUGGGCGUAAAGCGCGCGUAGGUGGCUUGAUAAGCCGGUUGUGAAAGCCCCGGGCUCAACCUGGGAACGGCAUCCGGAACUGUCAAGCUAGAGUGCAGGAGAGGAAGGUAGAAUUCCCGGUGUAGCGGUGAAAUGCGUAGAGAUCGGGAGGAAUACCAGUGGCGAAGGCGGCCUUCUGGACUGACACUGACACUGAGGUGUGAAAGCGUGGGUAGCAAACAGGAUUAGAUACCCUAGUAGUC
rnacentral:rRNA from 1 species